ACAUAGACACACCCUCUAUCUCCAAACAUAUAUACACUUAUUAAUUAAAUAAAAAAAUAAUAAUUUAUAAUAAAAUAAUCAAACUUGUCAUGCCUUUAAAUCUGACACAGAUACAUUAUAAGAUUUCAUAAAAUUUCAAAAACUAAGUUUUUUAAUAAAUAAAAAGUUACCAAACAUAUUUGUGGAUCUACUCCAAUAACAUACAAUAAUCUAACAAAAAUAUUUUAAAGUAAAAGAGUGCAUCAAAUACAUCAAUAAAAAUAAAUUAUAUUUUCUAACAAUGUUAAAAUUCCAAAAAUCCUAAUAAUAAUACUCUAUUCAAAUCCAAUGGCAUAUCUUCCAAGUUUUCACAUCCAUCAAGCUAUACCUUCUUCAAAUUUGUCAUACCCUCAAAACUAGCAUGGAUGGCUUUCAAAUUCUUUGAAUUUUUCAAACUAAGUUCUUGAAUAGAUGUGAGGUUCCUAAAUCCUUCAUGCACCUCUUUCAAGUCAAAGAAACCAUCUAAUAAUAAUAUUUGUAGGGAUAGGAGUGCAUCAAAUGCAUCAUCAUCAAACUUCAUAUUUACACAAUUUUGAAGAUUUAAAUACUCUAAUGAUAAUAGUGCCUUCAAACCUAAUAGGAUGUCUUCCAAGUUUUCACAUCCAUUAAGCCAUAUCUUCAAAUUUGUCAUGCCCUCAAAACUAGCAUAGAUGGCUUUUAAGUUCUGACAAUUUGUAAAACUAAGUUCUUAAAUAGAAGUAAGAUUGCUAAAUCCUUCAUGUACCUCUUUCAACUCCAAGCAACCAUCUAAUAAUAAUAUUUGUAAAGAUAGGAGUGCAUCAAAUGAAUCAUCAUCAAACUUCAUUUUUGUACAAUUUUGAAGAUUUAAGUACUCCAAUGAUGAUAGUGUCUUCAAACCUAAUGGCAUGUCUUUUAAGUUUUCACAUCCAUCAAGCCAUACCUUCUUCAAAUUUGUCAUGCCCUCAAAACUAGCAUAGAUGGCUUUUAAGUUCUUGGAAUUUUUCAAACUAAGUUCUUGAAUAGAUGUGAGGUUGCUAAAUCCUUCAUGUACCUCUUUCAACUCCAAGCAACCAUCUAAUAACAAUAUUUGUAAGGAUAGGAGUGCAUCAAAUGCAUCAUCAUCAAACUUCAUUUUUGUACAAUUUUGAAGAUUUAAAUACUCCAAUAAUGAUAGUGUCUUCAAACCUAAUGGCAUGACUUCUAAGUUUUCACAUCCAUCAAGCCAUACCUUCUUCAAAUUUCUCAUGCCCUCAAAACUAGCAUAGAUAGCUUUCAAGUUCUUACAAUUUGUAAAACUAAAUUCUUGAAUAGAUGUGAGGUUGCUAAAUCCUUUGUGUAUCUCUUUCAACUCCAAGCAACCAUCUAAUAACAAUAUUUGUAAGGAUAGGAGUGCAUCAAAUGCAUCAUCAUCAAACUUCAUUUUUACACAAUUUUGAAGAUCUAAAUACUCUAAUGAUGAUAGUAUCUUCAAAUCUAAAGGCAUUUCUUCUAAGUUUUCACAUCCAUCAAGCCAUAUCUUCUUCAAAUUUGUCAUGCCCUCAAAACUAGCAUAGAUGGCUUUCAAGUUCUUACAAUUUGUAAAACUAAGUUCUUGAAUAGAUGUGAGGUUGCUAAAUCUUUCAUGCACCUCUUUCAAGUCCAAGCAACCAUCUAAUAAUAAUAUUUGUAAGGAUAGGAGUGCAUUAAAUGCAUCAUCAUCAAACUUCAUUUUUAUACAAUCUUGAAGAUCUAAAUACUUCAAUGAUGAUAGUGUCUUCAAACCUAAUGGCAUGUCUUCCAAGUUUUCACAUCCAUCAAGGCAUAUCUUCUUCAAAUUUUUCAUGCCCUCAAAACUAGCAUAGAUGGCUUUCAAGUUCUGACAAUUUACAAAACUAAGUUCUUGAAUAGAUGUGAGGUUGCUAAAUCCUUCAUGUACCUCUUUCAAGUCAAAGCAACCAUCUAAUAAUAAUAUUUGUAGGGAUAGGAGUGCAUCAAAUGCAUCAUCAUCAAACUUCAUAUUUGCACAAUCUUGAAGAUUUAAAUACUCCAAUGAUGAUAGUAUCUUUAAAUCCAAUGGCAUGACUUCUAAGUUUUUACAUCCGUCAAGCCAUAUCUUCUUCAAAUUUGUCAUACCCUCAAAACUAACAUGAAUGGCUUUCAAGUUCUUGCAAUUUGUAAAACUAAGUUCUUGAAUAGAUGUGAGGUUGCUAAAUCCUUCAUGCACCUCUUUCAACUCCAAGCAACCAUCUAAUAAUAAUAUUUGUAAAGAUAGGAGUGCAUCAAAUGCAUCAUCAUCAAACUUAAUUUUUAUACAAUUUUGAAGAUCUAAAUACUCCAAUGAUGAUAGUGUCUUCAAAUCUAAAAGCAUGUCUUCUAAGUGUUCACAUCCAUUAAGCCAUAUCUUCUUCAAAUUUGUCAUGCCCUCAAAACUAGCAUGGAUGGCUUUCAAGUUCUUGCAAUUUUUUAAACUAAGUUCUUGAAUAGAUGUGAGGUUCUUGAAUCCUUCAUGCACCUCUUUCAAGUCAAAGCAACCAUCUAAUAACAAUAUUUGUAGGGAUAGGAGUGCAUCAAAUGCAUCAUCAUCAAACUUCAUAUUUGUACAAUCUUGAAGAUUUAAAUACUCCAAUGAUGAUAGUGUCUUCAAACCUAAUGGCAUGUCUUCCAAGUUUUCACAUCCAUCAAGCCAUAUCUUCUUCAAAUUUGUCAUGCCCUCAAAACUAACAUGGAUGGCUUCCAAAUUCAUGCAAUUUGUAAAACUAAGUUUUUGAAUAGAUGUUAGAUUGCUAAAUCCUUUAUGCACCUCUUUCAACUCCAAGCAACCAUCUAAUAACAAUAUUUGUAAGGAUAGGAGUGCAUCAAAUGCACCAUUAUCAAACUUCAUUUUUGUACAAUUUUGAAGAUCUAAAUACUCUAAUGAUGAUAGUGUCAUCAAACCUAAUGGCAUGUCUUCUAAAUUUUCACAUCCAUCAAGCCAUACCUUCUUCAAAUUUGUCAUGCCCUCAAAAUUAGCAUGGAUGGCUUUUAAGUUCUUGCAAUUUGUAAAACUAAGUUCUUGAAUAGAUGUAAGGUUGCUGAAUCCUUCAUGCAUCUCUUUUAAGUCCAAGCAACCAUCUAAUACUAAUAUUUGUAAGGAUAAGAGUGCAUCAAAUGCAUCAUCAUCGAACUUCAUUUUUGUACAAUUUUGAAGAUUUAAAUACUCUAAUGAUAAUAGUGCCUUCAAAUUGAAUAGCGUGUCUUCUAAGUUUUCACAUCCAUUAAGCCAUAUCUUUUUCAAAUUUGUCAUGCCCUCAAAACUAGCAUAGAUGGCUUUCAAGUUCUUGCAAUGUUUAAAACUAAGUUCUUGAAUAGAUAUGAGGUUGCUAAAUCCUUCAUGUACCUCUUUCAACUCCAAGCAACCAUCUAAUAACAAUAUUUGUAAGGAUAGGAGUGCAUCAAAUGCAUCAUCAUCAAACUUCAUUUUUGCACAAUUUUGA
rnacentral:lncRNA from 1 species